GUGCCAGCCGCCGCGGUAAUACGUAGGGUGCGAGCGUUAAUCGGAAUUACUGGGCGUAAAGCGUGCGCAGGCGGUUCGCUGUGUCCUGUGUGAAAGCCCCGGGCUUAACCUGGGAAUGGCAUGGGAAACUGGCGAGCUUGAGUGCGGCAGAGGGGGGUGGAAUUCCGCGUGUAGCAGUGAAAUGCGUAGAGAUGCGGAGGAACACCGAUGGCGAAGGCAGCCCCCUGGGUCGACACUGACGCUCAGGCACGAAAGCGUGGGGAGCAAACAGGAUUAGAAACCCCCGUAGUCC
rnacentral:rRNA from 1 species